UUCUUGCAGGUAAAUAAUGCAGGCGCUUCUGGAGUGAUUGUUGAUGAAGAUAGCCUAAGAGCGAUGAAAAUAGAUCCUGCAACUUGGGUAAUUAUGUUGCAUUUUUAAACAGCUCUCGGAUACCUAUAUAGGAACUCAUUUGUUAUUGGUCUGGGAUUUUUAACAGCUCACAGAUAUACACAUAUAGGAACUUAUUUGUGAUUGCUCUGUUGCAAUUUUAAACAGCUCUCAGGCCAAGCGAUGAACAUGAUUCAAGGUGUGAUCAAAACAAGCUAUGAUAAGGCAAGAGAAUGCCUCAACAC
rnacentral:lncRNA from 1 species